rnacentral:rRNA from 1 species
AUUAAAUAAAACAUGAGAAGGGCAUAUAGUGAAUGCCUUGGCGAUAAGAGGCGAUGAAGGACGUGUUACACUGCGAUAAGCUUCGGGGAGUUGUGAAAAAACUUUGAUCCGAAGAUUUCCGAAUGGGGAAACCCACUUCUUGAGUUCAUUACACAGCAUCCGAGCGAUCGGGUGUUGGAUUGUGAACUCUUUCAUAGAAGUAUAAAUACCUGAAUACAUAGGGUAUUUAAGCAAACCCGGUGAAUUGAAAUAUCUCAGUAGCCGGAGGAAAGGACAUCAAAAGAGACUCCGCUAGUAGUGACGAGCGAACGCGGACUAGGCCAGUAAUCAUCGUGAAAUAAUCAGAACCUUCUGGAAAGUUGGACCAUAGUGGGUGACAGUCCCGUAUGAGUAAACCAGCGAUGAUUCUUGAGUAAGGCGGGACACGUGAAAUCCUGUCUGAACAUGGGGCGACCACGCUCCAAGCCUAAGUACUCCUUAUCGACCGAUAGUGAACUAGUACAGUGAUGGAAAGGUGAAAAGCACCCCGACGAGGGGAGUGAAAGAGUACCUGAAACUGUAUGCCUACAAGCAGUCGGAGCGGAUUUAUCCGUGACGGCGUACCUCUUGUAUAAUGGGCGAGCGACUUAGUGUGUGCAGCAAGGUUAAGCCGUUAGGUGAAGCCGUAGCGAAAGCAAGUCUGAAUAGGGCGACAAGUUGCACGUAUUAGACCCGAAACGAGGUGAUCUAGCCAUGGCCAGGUUGAAGGUUGGGUAACACCAGCUGGAGGACCGAACCGACUCCCGUUGAAAAGGUAGCGGAUGAGCUGUGGUUAGGGGUGAAAGGCCAAUCAAACUUCGUAAUAGCUGGUUCUCCGCGAAAACUAUUUAGGUAGUGCCUCGGACGAAUACCUUGGGGGGUAGAGCACUGGAUGGACUAGGGGGGCCCAAAGCCUUACCAAAUCUAACCAAACUCCGAAUACCCAAGAGUACUAUCCGGGAGACAGACUGCGACAGCUAACUGCCGUAGUCGAGAGGGAAACAACCCAGAUCUACAGCUAAGGUCCCCAAAUCAAGAUUAAGUUGGGAAGCAUGUGAGACGGCCAUAACAACCAGGAGGUUGGCUUAGAAGCAGCCAUCCUUUAAAGAAAGCGUAAUAGCUCACUGGUCUAAAUAAGCUAUCUUGCGGCGAAAAUGUACCGGGGAUUAAAUCUUGUACCGAAGCUUAGGGCUCAGUAAUGAGCGGUAGCGGAGCGUUCCGUAAGCCAGUGAAGCAGCAUGGUGAUGUGCUGUGGAGGUAUCGGAAGUGCGAAUGCUCGCAUGAGUAGCGACAAACAGAGUGAGAAACUCUGUCGCCGAAAUCCCAAGGGUUCCUGCGUUAUGUUAAUCAGAGCAGGGUUAGCCGGCACCUAAGGCGAGGCCGAAAGGCGUAGUCGAUGGAAAACAGGUUAAUAUUCCUGUGCCAGUGGAGUGUGACGCAUCCCGUGUAUUGUCUGCCCUUAUUGGAUUGGGUGGGCAGUGAAGGGGUGCCAGGAAAUAGCACCACAUCAGACCGUACCCUAAACCGACACAGGUGGGAUGGUAGAGUAUACCAAGGCGCUUGAGAGAAUGAUGCUGAAGGAACUAGGCAAAUUGCACGCGUAACUUCGGGAUAAGCGUGGCCCCACUAUAGGCAACUACUGUGGGGCGGCACAAGCCAGGGGGUGGCGACUGUUUAUUUAAAACACAGGGCUCUGCGAAGGCUCCCAAGCCGACGUAUAGGGUCUGACGCCUGCCCGGUGCUGGAAGGUUAAGACGAGGUGUGAAAGCACUGAAUUGAAGCCCCAGUAAACGGCGGCCGUAACUAUAACGGUCCUAAGGUAGCGAAAUUCCUUGUCGGGUAAGUUCCGACCCGCAUGAAUGGCGUAACGAUCUCCCCACUGUCUCCAGCAUCAACUCAGCGAAAUUGAAUUCUCCGUGAAGAUGCGGAGUACCCGUGGUUAGACGGAAAGACCCCGUGCACCUUUACUGCAAUUUUACAUUGGUAUUAGGCGUCGUUUGUGUAGGAUAGGUGGGAGACAUUGAAGUCCAGGCGCCAGCUUGGAUGGAGUCAACCUUGAAAUACCACCCUGACGUUGCUUGAUAUCUAACCGACUCCAGUCAUCCUGGAGCGGGACCAUGUAUGAUGGGCAGUUUGACUGGGGCGGUCGCCUCCCAAAGUGUAACGGAGGCGCGCGAAGGUAAGCUCAGGACGGUCGGAAAUCGUCCUUUAGAGUGUAAGGGCAUAAGCUUGCCUGACUGUGACAGUGACAGCUGAAACAGAUACGAAAGUAGGUCCUAGUGAUCCGGUGGUUCCAAGUGGAAGGGCCAUCGCUCAACGGAUAAAAGGUACGCCGGGGAUAACAGGCUGAUCUUGCCCAAGAGUCCAUAUCGACGGCAAGGUUUGGCACCUCGAUGUCGGCUCAUCACAUCCUGGGGCUGGAGAAGGUCCCAAGGGUAUGGCUGUUCGCCAUUUAAAGUGGUACGUGAGCUGGGUUUAGAACGUCGUGAGACAGUUCGGUCCCUAUCUGCCAUGGGUGUAGGAAACUUGAGAGGAUCUGACCUUAGUACGAGAGGACCGGGUUGGACGUACCUCUGGUGCACCAGUCGUUCUGCCAAGAGCGCAGCUGGGUAGCUAUGUACGGAAUGGAUAAACGCUGAAAGCAUCUAAGCGUGAAACCAGCCUUGAAACUAGGUUUCCCUAUGAGAGCCGUGAUAGACCAUCACGUUGAUAGGCCAGGUGUGGAAGUGCGGUAACGCAUGCAGCUAACUGGUACUAAUUGCUCCAUUGGUUUUAUUUAAU